rnacentral:ncRNA from 1 species
UUGAAAUCUUCGAUGAGGAUCAGUAGAGUGACCCUGUCUUUUCAGAGAGGGGGCCGAUUGGUGCGAGGCUCCUAUAGACAAUCAUUUGAACCUGCCUCUGAGUCUGAAUAUUCAGCGGUUCAUACCGUUAUCAUGUGAGAGAGUGAAGCUUUGCUUUGAAUCAGGGUGGUACCGCCAGUAAUGGUCCCUGAU